rnacentral:ncRNA from 1 species
CUCUUAUCCCGAGCUGGUGGAGGGUCAGGCCCUAAGAAACCCGGCAACCUGCAUUUUAUCAAGUGUUAAAUGCGCUGGUGCUAAUCUGAUGCAAGGAAUAUUCCUUGAACGAUAAGAG